CACGUAGGGUGCGAGCGUUGUCCGGAAUCAUUGGGCGUAAAGCGCGUGUAGGCGGCCAGAAAAGUCCGCUGUGAAAACUCGAGGCUCAACUUCGAGCUGUCGGUGGAAACUUUCUGGCUAGAGUCCGGAAGAGGAGAAUGGAAUUCCUGGUGUAGCGGUGAAAUGCGCAGAUAUCAGGAAGAACACCCGUGGCGAAGGCGGUUCUCUGGGACGGUACUGACGCUGAGACGCGAAAGCGUGGGGAGCGAACAGG
rnacentral:rRNA from 1 species